CCUACGGGAGGCAGCAGUAGGGAAUCUUCCACAAUGGACGAAAGUCUGAUGGAACAACGCCGCGUGAGUGAUGAAGGUUCUCCGAUCCUAAAACUCUGUUGUAAGGGAAGAACAAGUACGUUAGGAAAUGAACGUACCUUGACCGUACCUUAUUAGAAAGGCACGGCUAACCACGUGGCAGCAGCCGCGGUAAUACGUAGGUGGGAAGCGUUGUCCGGAUUUAUUGGGCGUAAAGCGCGCGCAGGCGGUUUCUUAAGUCUGAUGUGAAAGCCCACGGCUUAACCGUGGAGGGUCAUUGGAAACUGGGAGACUUGAGUGCAGAAGAGGAAAGUGGAAUUCCAAGUGUAGCGGUGAAAUGCGUAGAGAUUUGGAGGAACACCAGUGGCGAAGGCGACUUUUCUGGUCCUGCAACUGACGCUGAGGCGCGAAAGCAUGGGGAGCAAACAGGAUUAGAUACCCUGGUAGUCCAUGCCCGUAAACGAUGAGUGCUAAGUGUUAGGGGGUUUCCGCCCCUUAGUGCUGCAGCUAACGCAUUAAGCACUCCGCCUGGGGAGUACGACCGCAAGGUUGAAACUCAAAGGAAUUGACGGGGGCCCGCACAAGCGGUGGAGCAUGUGGUUUAAUUCGAAGCAACGCGAAGAACCUUAC
rnacentral:rRNA from 1 species